GGUCAAGUGAAUAAGCGCAUACGGUGGAUGCCUAGGCGAUAAGAGGCGAUGAAGGACGUUGUAGCAUGCGAUAAGCCGCGGGGAGUUUGCAAACAAACUUUGAUCCGCGGAUUUCCGAAUGGGGAAACCCAGUCAGGAUAACCUGACUAUCCUGCACUGAAUACAUAGGUGUAGGAAGCAAACCCGGAGAACUGAAACAUCUAAGUACCCGGAGGAAAAGAAAUCAACCGAGAUUCCCUUAGUAGUGGCGAGCGAACGGGGACCAGCCCUUAAGCAAUUAAGGCAUUAGUGGAACAGACUGGAAAGUCUGGCGAUACAGGGUGAUAGCCCCGUACACGAAAAUGCCUCAGUUGUGAAAACGAGUAGGACGGGGCACGUGAAACCUUGUCUGAAUAUGGGGGGACCAUCCUCCAAGGCUAAAUACUCCUUAUCGACCGAUAGUGAACCAGUACCGUGAGGGAAAGGCGAAAAGAACCCCGGAGAGGGGAGUGAAAUAGAUCCUGAAACCGUAUGCGUACAAGCAGUAGGAGCGGACUUGUUCCGUGACUGCGUACCUUUUGUAUAAUGGGUCAGCGACUUAAUCUCAGUGGCAAGCUUAACCGAAUAGGGGAGGCGUAGCGAAAGCGAGUCUGAACAGGGCGUUCAGUCGCUGGGAUUAGACCCGAAACCGGGCGAUCUAUCCAUGACCAGGCUGAAGGUGAGGUAAUACUUACUGGAGGGCCGAACCGGGAUCUGUUGAAAAAGAUUCGGAUGAGUUGUGGAUCGGAGUGAAAGGCUAAUCAAGCUCGGAGAUAGCUGGUUCUCCUCGAAAGCUAUUUAGGUAGCGCCUCGUGUAUAACUGUUGGGGGUAGAGCACUGUUUCGGCUAGGGGGUCAUCUCGACUUACCAACCCGAUGCAAACUCCGAAUACCAACAAGUUUCAGCACGGGAGACACACGGCGGGUGAUAAGGUCCGUCGUGAAAAGGGAAACAGCCCAGACCGUCAGCUAAGGUCCCCAAAUCUAUGCUCAGUGGGAAACGAUGUGAGAAGGCCCAGACAGCCAGGAGGUUGGCUUAGAAGCAGCCAUCCUUUAAAGAAAGCGUAAUAGCUCACUGGUCGAGUCGGCUCGCGCGGAAGAUUUACCGGGGCUAAGCAUAGUACCGAAGCUACGGGAUUGCACGUAAGUGUAAUCGGUAGAGGAGCGUUCUGUACGCCUGUGAAGGUCACUUGAGAAGGUGGCUGGAGGUAUCAGAAGUGCGAAUGCUGACAUAAGUAACGAUAAUGGGGGUGAAAAACCCCCACGCCGAAAACCCAAGGUUUCCUGCGCAACGCUAAUCGACGCAGGGUUAGUCGGUACCUAAGGCGAGGCCGAAAGGCGUAGUCGAUGGCAAACAGGUUAAUAUUCCUGUACCGGUCGUAACUGCGAUGGGGUGACGGAGAAGGCUAGGUUAGCUACCUGUUGGAAUAGGUAGUUUAAGCGUGUAGGGAGUCAGACUAGGCAAAUCCGGUUUGGCAAUCCUGAGGCGUGAUGACGAGUCUCUUUAGAGACGAAGUAACUGAUGCCAUGCUUCCAAGAAAAACCUCUAAGCUUCAGGUUACGAGUGGCCGUACCCUAAACCGACACAGGUGGGUGGGAUGAGAAUUCUAAGGCGCUUGAGAGAACUCGGGUGAAGGAACUAGGCAAAAUGGUACCGUAACUUCGGGAGAAGGUACGCCUUGAGUAAGUGAAAGCCCUCGCGGUUGGAGCUGAAAGAGGUAGCAUUAAACUGGUGGCUGCGACUGUUUAGCAAAAACAUAGCACUCUGCAAACACGAAAGUGGACGUAUAGGGUGUGACGCCUGCCCGGUGCCGGAAGGUUAAUUGAUGGGGUUAUCUUCGGAGAAGCUCUUGAUCGAAGCCCCGGUAAACGGCGGCCGUAACUAUAACGGUCCUAAGGUAGCGAAAUUCCUUGUCGGGUAAGUUCCGACCUGCACGAAUGGCGUAACGAUGGCCACACUGUCUCCACCCGAGACUCAGUGAAA
rnacentral:rRNA from 1 species